CAGGUCACUCCUACGGGAGGCAGCAGUGGGGAAUAUUGCGCAAUGGGCGAAAGCCUGACGCAGCAACGCCGCGUGAGUGAUGAAGGCCUUCGGGUCGUAAAGCUCUGUCGGAGGGAACGAAUGCUUUUGAGGUUAACAGCCUCAGAAAGUGACGGUACCCUCAAAGGAAGCACCGGCUAACUACGUGCCAGCAGCCGCGGUAAUACGUAGGGUGCGAGCGUUAAUCGGAAUUACUGGGCGUAAAGGGUGCGCAGGCGGUCUCGUAAGCUGGGUGUGAAAGCCCCGGGCUUAACCUGGGAAUGGCAUGGGAAACUGGCGAGCUUGAGUGCGGCAGAGGGGGGUAGAAUUCCACGUGUAGCAGUGAAAUGCGUAGAGAUGUGGAGGAAUACCGAUGGCGAAGGCAGCCCCCUGGGCUAACACUGACGCUCAUGCACGAAAGCGUGGGGAGCAAACAGGAUUAGAUACCCUGGUAGUCCACGCCCUAAACGAUGUCUACUAGUUGUUGGUGGAGUAAAAUCCAUUAGUAACGCAGCUAACGCGUGAAGUAGACCGCCUGGGGAGUACGGUCGCAAGAUUAAAACUUAAAGGAAUUGACGGGACU
rnacentral:rRNA from 1 species